rnacentral:lncRNA from 1 species
UUCAGAUACACAAAGUACGGCUACUGCCCUUGCUUAUGCAGACGGCUAUACACGAGUACUUCUUCCUGAAGAGUAUAUUCUACCACAUUUCAUACCAGGAUUCAGAAAUUAUCCAGUGUGUAGCAGAGAGGGCGAACUCCACUACUAUUGGUCCUUGCGAUAUGAAUGCCUUAUCUGCUUUUGCCUAAGU